GUAGGUGAACCUGCGGAAGGAUCAUUAAAAAUCCCCAAAAUAACCGUUGAAAUGUAGCUUUUCCCUGAUGAUAUAUAUUAUAUAUUUAUUUAUAUAUAUAUAAAUAAGGGAAAGGCAUUUUUAGACUUUACCGUUGAGACAAUUGUAUAUUAGGUUCAGAGGGAAUACAACUUUUAACAAUGGAUCUCUAGGCUCUUGCAUCGAUGAAGAACGCAGCAUCUGACUGACUGGAAGCUUGUCUAUCUCGUAU
rnacentral:misc_RNA from 1 species